rnacentral:rRNA from 1 species
CUCCGUAGGUGAACCUGCGGAGGGAUCAUUACACAAUAACAAUGCGGGCUGGACACCCCCCGCUGGGCACUGCUUCACGGCGUGCGCGGCGGGGCCGGCCCUGCUGAAUUAUUCACCCGUGUCUUUUGCGUACUUCUUGUUUCCUGGGUGGGCUCGCCCGCCCUCAGGACCAACCACAAACCUUUUGCAAUAGCAAUCAGCGUCAGUAAUAACGUAAUUAAUUACAACUUUCAACAACGGAUCUCUUGGUUCUGGCAUCGAUGAAGAACGCAGCGAAAUGCGAUACGUAGUGUGAAUUGCAGAAUUCAGUGAAUCAUCGAAUCUUUGAACGCACAUUGCGCCCUUUGGUAUUCCAAAGGGCAUGCCUGUUCGAGCGUCAUUUGUACCCUCAAGCUUUGCUUGGUGUUGGGCGUCUUUUGUCUCCAGUUCGCUGGAGACUCGCCUUAAAGUCAUUGGCAGCCGGCCUACUGGUUUCGGAGCGCAGCACAAGUCGCGCUCUUCGCCAGCCAAGGUCAGCGUCCAGCAAGCCUUUUUUUCAACCUUUGACCUCGGAUCAGGUAGGGAUACCCGCUGAACUUAAGCAUAUCAAUAAGCGGAGGAA